UACAGAGGGUGCGAGCGUUAAUCGGAAUUACUGGGCGUAAAGCGUGCGUAGACGGUAAUGUAAGUCGAGUGUGAAAGCCCCGGGCUCAACCUGGGAAUUGCAUUCGAGACUGCAUCGCUUGGGUGCGGAAGAGGGAAGCGGAAUUUCCGGUGUAGCGGUGAAAUGCGUAGAUAUCAGGAGGAACACCAAUGGCGAAGGCAGCUCGCUGGGACGUGACUGACGCUGAGACGCGAAAGCGUGGGGAGCAAACAGG
rnacentral:rRNA from 1 species